rnacentral:misc_RNA from 1 species
AAGUCGUAACAAGGUCUCCGUUGGUGAACCAGCGGAGGGAUCAUUACGAAAGCGUUUUUAACAGCGCAAAACCCACUGUGAACAUACCUGUUUGUUGCUUCGGCAGGCGGCCCCAGGGCGGGGCCAGCAGCCUGUAUUUUUUUCAGGCGCCUGCCGGAGGCCACUUCAAACUCUUAUUGUAUACCCCCUCGCGGGUUUUUUUAUAAUCUGAGCCUUCUCGGCGCCUCUCGUAGGCGUUUCGAAAAUGAAUCAAAACUUUCAACAACGGAUCUCUUGGUUCUG